rnacentral:lncRNA from 1 species
AAAAAAACUAUGUAUUUUUUACUACUACAUAAUUGUAUCUGUUCAACUAUAUAAUUCAAAGAAAGAAAAACAUAAAUACUAAAAUGCUAAGUGAAUAACGUAUUUUAAACUAAGCAUGAAUUUUUUAAAAAAAAUUUUUUUUAUGAAUUAUAUUUAGUUGAUAUAAAAUCAAUUCCUUUCACAUAUUUGGCUCUACAUAUUUUCUAAACGAAAACUAAAACUAAAACUGAUAUUCUCUAAUUUCUUGUGUAGGCACUCUUUGGGACAAGAUCACAAGAGUCUGGACUCUGUAUGAAGACUAGGCAAUUAAAUGUGUACAAGCUGAUGUAUUACACUAUCAUAACCAAAAAGAAAAAACACGUGUCAAUCAAUUAUUCGCUACCUAUCUUUUUCCUAUCGAGGACAAAGUACGGACAGUUAAAGGAGGAUGCGAAGGAGGAUCCGUAUCUCCAUCUCACGGGACAACAAACAAAUUCAUGGCCAGAGAAAAAAUUCUAACGUGACCAGAAACAUGCAUAUUGAAGUGUCACAGACAUGGAAUAUUACCACCAACACGUUAUUCCUACAAAAUUCAAAUAAUGUAAGUACGUUUGUUCUCCGUAUUUAGUAAAUUAAAAACUCAA